rnacentral:lncRNA from 1 species
GAGGGUUUUGUAAUGUGUAAUCAAACCUGGUUGAAUCUGUUAAAACUCUCAGCAGGCCAGUGAAGAUGAACAGAUUCUCUGGUCCCAAUUAGGAACCCAGCCAUGGCUCUGGAAUGGACUAUCCAGUGGCUCAUUGUCAUGGAGGAAGCAGUCAUUCAAUCUCCCCUCCUCUUUGUCAUUUAACACACUUCAAAAAGAGGUGGAAGCUGAUUACUUCCUUUAGCCAUGGCAUUGAGUAGCUCUGACAGCUGCUGGCUCUCAGGAUGACCUUAAAUUCACUGUGUAGCCAAAGAUGACUUUGAACUUCUGAUCCCCCUUUCUCCAUCUCCUGGUUGAUGGGAUUCCAGGUGUGCACCACCACACCCAGUUUAUGCUGGGAACUGAACUCAAGGAUCCUGUGUGUCAGGAGGGCAUGAGAAGACAAGAGUAAGUAAGUAGCAAUGUGUUCUACCCAUGUGUGAAACUGAAAGAGAAGGUGCAGACUAAAGGGGAAGAUGCCUGCAGGUGUAAUGUGAGGCUCUGCAGUGCCCCAAGGAAGACCUGGACAAGAUGGACAGUGGAGCUGGAAGGGGAGAUGGGAGCUAGAGGAAGAUGCUCCGGACUUGUUAUACGGUUGGCGAAGAGGUUCGGGGGACAGACUAAAGUCAAAAUUUCAAAAUGUCAUGGUUCAGAGACUCUCCUUCCCAGAAUUUGAGAAAUUAAUUGUUGAGAAACCAUUAUCUUGGCAGAAGAAAUCACAGAGUAUAUCUGGAAAUUUUGUGGCUUGAAAACUUAAGCAAAUGGGCCUACCUGUUCAGGUCCACUGGGUAAAUACAGUGUUUUCCUGGUCUAGACUUGCAGGUUGCUGCUGGGUGGAAUUACUGGCAGAGUUACAACAAACAUUUUUUUGAAUGCAUAAAAGCAAGGAAAACUAUCAUGAAUGGUUCCAAUUCAUAUUAACAUCUCACCAGUUCAGCAAUAUGCACAAUACCAAUAAAUAUUUCCUUUUUCU